rnacentral:rRNA from 1 species
UACGAAGGGGGCUAGCGUUGUUCGGAAUUAUUGGGCGUAAAGCGCGCGCAGGCGGUCCUUUAAGUCUGAUGUGAAAGCCCACGGCUCAACCGUGGAGGGUCAUUGGAAACUGGGGGACUUGAGUACAGAAGAGGAAAGCGGAAUUCCACGUGUAGCGGUGAAAUGCGUAGAGAUGUGGAGGAACACCAGUGGCGAAGGCGGCUUUCUGGUCUGUAACUGACGCUGAGGCGCGAAAGCGUGGGGAGCAAACAGG